rnacentral:rRNA from 1 species
UACGGAGGGUGCGAGCGUUGUCCGGAAUUACUGGGCGUAAAGCGCGCGUAGGCGGCUUUGUAAGUUAGAGGUGAAAGCCCGGAGCUCAACUUCGGAAUUGCCUUUAAGACUGCAUCGCUUGAAUCAUGGAGAGGUCAGUGGAAUUCCGAGUGUAGAGGUGAAAUUCGUAGAUAUUCGGAAGAACACCAGUGGCGAAGGCGACUGACUGGACAUGUAUUGACGCUGAGGUGCGAAAGCGUGGGGAGUAAACAGG